GUAACCCCGGGUUGAGAUUGAAGGUUGAAGUUCCAUUCGGCCUACGUAGCCACAUUUCGAGAUCAAUGUGUACUGUUCAAGGAAGAUGCAGGUGAUCUCUUGAACUUGAAUUGUCAAGUCUGUUGGGAUCUGAGUGGUGAUAGACCUGCGAAGUGAGACCAGAGAUGCCAUUAAAAAAACUCUAUAUGGAACAUGUUCAGAAGAAGGCCUAGAGUGAACUUAAGGUUCUACCAUGCUUGAUCUUUCCUGCUGGGGCAAUCGGCUGAGACGAGCUUGUUUGGAAGCACGAUCCUCUGGUCGGGAUCCUGCUCGGCUCCAUCUGAAUCGCUCCCAGGAUUUUGCAUUCCAGUCAGAGACUUCAUGUUCAUGGAGUGAAAUAAAUGCAAGAGAAGCAAGUAUGUGGCUGUGGAUGGGAGCAGCCAUUAAAGAGGGUCCAUGGAAAUGGUGGUUCAUUUGUUGUACCAAAAUGAGAGACACUGGUGGGAGAUUGGUAUUGUGCUCAUUUAUGAGGGAGAUGAGGAAUGUUGGGUAUGAGUAUGACUUGUAUCUUCAUCUACGUCUACUAUGAUUCAACCAAUGGAUGUGUGUGAAUUGGACGUUUAGAUGCCCAAUAUUUUGAAAUMUUC